rnacentral:rRNA from 1 species
UACGUAGGGCGCAAGCGUUGUCCGGAAUUACUGGGCGUAAAGCGCACGUAGGCGGCUUUGUAAGUUAGAGGUGAAAGCCCGGGGCUCAACUCCGGAAUUGCCUUUAAGACUGCAUCGCUAGAAUUGUGGAGAGGUAAGUGGAAUUCCGAGUGUAGAGGUGAAAUUCGUAGAUAUUCGGAAGAACACCAGUGGCGAAGGCGACUUACUGGACACAUAUUGACGCUGAGGUGCGAAAGCGUGGGGAGCAAACAGG